rnacentral:rRNA from 1 species
UACGAAGGGGGCUAGCGUUGUUCGGAAUUACUGGGCGUAAAGGGCGCGUAGGCGGCCUUGCGAGUCAGAAGUGAAAGCCCCGGGCUCAACCCGGGAAUUGCUUUUGAAACUGCGAGGCUCGAGUUUGGUAGAGGUGAGUGGAAUACCCAGUGUAGAGGUAAAAUUCGUAGAUAUUGGGUGGAACACCGGUGGCGAAGGCGGCUCACUGGACCAAAACUGACGCUGAGGCGCGAAAGCGUGGGGAUCAAACAGG